rnacentral:rRNA from 1 species
GGACGCGCUUCGGCGCACCCAGAAACCCUUUGUGAACUUAUACCUAUCUGUUGCCUCGGCGCAGGCCGGCCUCUUCGCUGAGGCCCCCUGGAGACAGGGAGCAGCCCGCCGGCGGCCAACUAAACUCUUGUUUCUACAGUGAAUCUCUGAGUAAAAAACAUAAAUGAAUCAAAACUUUCAACAACGGAUCUCUUGGUUCUGGCAUCGAUGAAGAACGCAGCGAAAUGCGAUAAGUAAUGUGAAUUGCAGAAUUCAGUGAAUCAUCGAAUCUUUGAACGCACAUUGCGCCCUCUGGUAUUCCGGAGGGCAUGCCUGUUCGAGCGUCAUUUCAACCCUCAAGCCUGGCUUGGUGAUGGGGCACUGCCUGUAAAAGGGCAGGCCCUGAAAUUCAGUGGCGAGCUCGCCAGGACCCCGAGCGUAGUAGUUAUAUCUCGCUUUGGAAGGCCCUGGCGGUGCCCUGCCGUUAAACCCCCAACUUCUGAAAAUUGA